CCGCUCACUUGUAGCGUCAUGGCCCAUCAAUUGGUCUGGUGCUAUGACAUAAAAGUGAGCGAAG
rnacentral:pre_miRNA from 1 species